GACGAACGCUGGCGGCGUGCUUAACACAUGCAAGUCGAACGGUAAGGCCCUUCGGGGUACACGAGUGGCGAACGGGUGAGUAACACGUGGGUGAUCUGCCCUGCACUUCGGGAUAAGCCUGGGAAACUGGGUCUAAUACCGGAUAGGACCCUGGGAUGCAUGUCCUGGGGUGGAAAGCUUUUGCGGUGUGGGAUGGGCCCGCGGCCUAUCAGCUUGUUGGUGGGGUGAUGGCCUACCAAGGCGACGACGGGUAGCCGGCCUGAGAGGGUGACCGGCCACACUGGGACUGGGAUACGGCCCAGACUCCUACGGGAGGCAGCAGUGGGGAAUAUUGCACAAUGGGCGCAAGCCUGAUGCAGCGACGCCGCGUGAGGGAUGACGGCCUUCGGGUUGUAAACCUCUUUCAGCACCGACGAAGCGCAAGUGACGGUAGGUGCAGAAGAAGGACCGGCCAACUACUUGCCAGCAGCCGCAGUAA
rnacentral:rRNA from 1 species